rnacentral:rRNA from 1 species
AUUGAACGCUGGCGGAAUGCUUUACACAUGCAAGUCGAGCGGCAGCGCGGGGGCAACCCUGGCGGCGAGCGGCGAACGGGUGAGUAAUACAUCGGAACGUGUCCUUAAGUGGGGGAUAGCUCGGCGAAAGCCGGAUUAAUACCGCAUAAGCUCUGAGGAGGAAAGCGGGGGCUCCGUAAGGACCUCGCGCUGUUGGAGCGGCCGAUGUCGGAUUAGCUAGUUGGUGGGGUAAAGGCCCACCAAGGCGACGAUCCGUAGCUGGUCUGAGAGGAUGAUCAGCCACACUGGAACUGAGACACGGUCCAGACUCCUACGGGAGCAGCAGUGGGGAAUUUUGGACAAGUGGGGGCAACCCUGAUCCAGCCAUUCCGCGUGAGUGAAGAAGGCCU